AGUGAACGCUGGCGGCAGGCCUAACACAUGCAAGUCGAGCGGACGAACAGUGAGAGCUCGCUCUUACGGGUGGCGACGGGCGGGCGGGUGAGAAAUACAUGGGAAUCUACUGGUUCUUGGGUGAUAACGUGGGGACACAUACGCUAAUAGCGCAUACGGCGUACGGGUGGGAUCAGGGGAUCUUCGGACAUUGGGUGAUUCAAUGAGCCGAUGUCGGAUUAGCUAGGUGGCGGGGUAAAGGCCCACCAAGGCGACGAUCCGUUGCUGGUCUGAGAGGGAGAUUAGCCAAACUGGAACUGAGAAACGGUCCAGACUCCUACGGGAGGCAGCAGUUGGGAAUAUUGGACAAUGGGCGCAAGCCUGAACCAGCCAUGCCGCGUGGGUGAAGAAGGUCCUCGGGUUGUAAAACCCUUUUAUUAGGGAAGAAAAGCAGCAGAUUAAAUCCCCGCCUUUUUGACGGUACCCAACAAAAAAGCCACGGCUAACUUCGUG
rnacentral:rRNA from 1 species